CCUACGGGAGGCAGCAGUGGGGGAUAUUGCACAAUGGGGGGAACCCUGAUGCAGCGACGCCGCGUGGGUGAAGGAGUGCUUCGGCAUGUAAAGCCCUAUCGGCAGGGAAGAAGCAAGACGGUACCUGACGAAGAAGCCCCGGCGAACUACGUGCCAGCAGCCGCGGUAAUACGUAGGGGGCGAGCGUUAUCCGGAUUCACUGGGUGUAAAGGGAGCGUAGACGGCCAUGCAAGCCAGGGGUGAAAGCCCGGGGGCCAACCCCGGGACUGCCGUUGGAACUGCAUGGCUGGAGUGAGGGAGGGGUAGGCGGAAUGCGUGGUGUAGCGGUGAAAUGCGUAGAUAUCAGGAGGAACACCGGCGGCGAAGGCGGCCUGCUGGCCUGCGACUGACGUUGAGGCUCGAAAGCGUGGGGAGCGAACAGGAUUAGAUACCCGGGUAGUC
rnacentral:rRNA from 1 species